UCUUCAUCUUGUAUCAGAGUGGUGUGCUCUAGCUGUGAAAGAGUGGUGUGCUCUGACACUGUAAAGGUUUCAACUCCACCUGCAAGGAGUUUUUCCAAGAUAGUGGAUCGAACUCUCAAGUGGUGUGCUUGAGGACUGGAUGUAGGUCAGGUGGACUGAACCAGUAUAAAUUCACCCCCCUUCUAAGGUUGAUUCUAUGGGCAACAAUAUCGUACUUGUAUCCUAAUUUUUGGGCAGAGAAUAUUCAGUCUUUGGCAGGUAAAGAAUGGUAAAAUAUCCAAGCUUACUAGUUAUAGUGCAUUCUGCAGAUUAAUCACAAAAGUAAC
rnacentral:lncRNA from 1 species